CUUCUAGAAAUCAUAACAUUUAUCGAAUCGUUACACAUACAAGAACAGAAUGGAUGGUAACAAUGGAUAUCGAAACUUCUUUGGUUCUUAUCGAAGACCUUACGAUCGGAAGGGCAGAAAUGAUGAUGACUUUGAUGAUAGUGAUGAUUAUGACAUGAGAAACUUUGUAAGGGAAUUCCGUGACAUGGAUGGAAUGUUUGCACAUUUCCAUGAUGACAUGUCAAGACAAAUGGAAGAAAUAAACAGACAAAUGGAAGACAUGUUCAGAAACUUUGGAUCUAUUGACUACUCCCCAAAACAUUAUUACACGCCAGCGAUUGAGUAUGAAAGUCCACGAGACAAAAUGUUGAAAGAUCAAGAUAGACCCUCCAGAUUCCCUGCACGUCGAUCCAUUUUUGGUGAUAUAUUCUCUACUCCAAAAUGGGAUUCUAUAAAACCAUACAGACGAGACACAGAUCUAGAUGCAGAAGUUGCUGAAAAGAGUGUUAGUAAGAUAUUUGAAGAAUCAAAAUCAAGGGAUUCUUAUGGUUCACCAAUGAAAAUUUACUCAAAAAGUAAUAGCAAAUCAUAUUCAUCGUACAGAGGACCAGAUGGGUUUGAAAAAGUUGAGAAACGCAGGUCAGUGAAGAACCCUGAUGGAAGUGAAGAGACGAUUGUUUCUCGUCAACUUGGAGAUAAAUCUCACACUAUUAUUUCCAAAAAAGAUAAAUAUGGCCAUCGGGAAACAGAUGAAAAAUUGGAUAAUCUGUAUGGAGGGGACGUUCCAGAAUUUCAACGAGAAUGGAAUAACACUAACAGAAAAGCUGAUGACAUAACAAGGGAAGCCUUGGCACCAUUCAAAGAUGAUCGUUCCUACUUCCGAAAAUUCCUUGGCAUCCGUUGAUGAUUUCAAAAUUUCAGAAUCAAAGCUCAAAUGAUUCAAAUGUUUGCAUAGUUUUAUAACAAUUAUGUUUUGUUUGGUGUAGUAAACUAUUUUAUCAUUUGAUAAUUAUUUUCUGUGAUAUUUUUGUUAUAUAAUAGAUUACUGUUAGACAUUAGAAUUAUUGUGUGUUUUCCUAUUUUAAUUUUCAUACCAAGAAAGGACAAAUUAUAGCUAUAAACAAAUGGUUAUUCUAUGAUAAUCUCCACAACUAAAAAUCAAAUUCUUGUUUACAAACGAGUGUUUUAGGGAAUAAAAAAUAUAUUCUAUGUCGGUAUUUGAAUGUUAUACAAUUUUACAUGCUUUUUAUGUUGUUUUCUAAUAUAAAACCACUGUUAUGUACAUUUAGAUUGGUCAAUAAAAGUAACAGUUAAGUUCAACAGUUUAGUGAAUUUAAGUUUUGAUGUUUAAUGGAUUACAUGUGUGUAGAUAAUUGGUGAACAUAUAAUAAUACUACAUCAUCUAGUUAGCAAGUUUUGAAAAAUAUUUUUGUUUGAUCUUUGAAUUAUUUUCUUGAAAUAAAAAAUCAGAACGUCUGUACUGGAUAUUUUAGGAACUGUAUAUUAUUUUAAGUAUCUUUUGAACUUUCUUUUUCUGGAAUAUGCAAACUAGACUAUUAUGCACUUAGAAACACUCAUGUGUAAUGAAGCGCUAUAUAAAUCGAAUAAUAAUAUUAUUAGCCUUUUAAGGCGGUUUGGAUUACAAUUGUUUAACUUUAUUUCAGUGAAGUUGUUGUCACAAUUUUCUUGUGUUAUUUGUUUCUUUUUUAUAUGUGAUUAUGUAUUAUUUAGAUAUUCCCUAUUAGCUUAGCUUUUAAAGGUUUAUCAUUGUCAGUUGUGAUAUGUUAGAGGUGUAUUAUUAACUUGCAGAAUAUAUUUUUAAUAAUAAAAGUACCAAAAAUAAA